rnacentral:rRNA from 1 species
AACGAACGCUGGCGGCAGGCCUAACACAUGCAAGUCGAGCGAGGACUUCGGUUCUAGCGGCGGACGGGUGAGUAACGCGUGGGAAUGUGCCCUUCUCUACGGAAUAGCCCUGGGAAACUGGGAGUAAUACCGGAUACGCCCUAUUGGGGAAAGAUUUAUCGGAGAAGGAUCAGCCCGCGUUGGAUUAGGUAGUUGGUGGGGUAAUGGCCUACCAAGCCGACGAUCCAUAGCUGGUUUGAGAGGAUGAUCAGCCACACUGGGACUGAGACACGGCCCAGACUCCUACGGGAGGCAGCAGUGGGGAAUCUUAGACAAUGGGGGCAACCCUGAUCUAGCCAUGCCGCGUGAGUGAUGAAGGCCUUAGGGUUGUAAAGCUCUUUCAGCUGGGAAGAUAAUGACGGUACCAGCAGAAGAAGCCCCGGCUAACUCCGUG